AACGUAGGAGACAAACGUUAUCCGGAGUUACUGGGCGUAAAGGGCGUGCAGGUGGUCUGUUAAGUCUGGCGUGAAAGCUCUCGGCUAAACCGGGAGAGGUCGUUGGAUACUGGCGGACUAGAGGACGGUAGAGGUGUGUGGAAUUCCGGGUGUAGUGGUGAAAUGCGUAGAGAUCGGCAGGAACACCCAGGGGGAAACCAGCCGACUGGGCAUCUACUGACGCUGAGGUGCGAGAGCGUGGGGAGCGAACCGG
rnacentral:rRNA from 1 species